rnacentral:lncRNA from 1 species
ACCCAUAAGGAUCAUGUCCAUACAGUUGCGUCCCUCUGGAAAAGCAGCAUGACCCUUUGGCAUAUCUGCACUUGCACAGGAAUCCAAAAAGUUUCACCAACAUAACAGCUAUGAGGUGUGGUGUCUUGGGAAAAUUGGGUUCUGUCUGGAUGCUGAAAGCAAGAAGCAGCCCCCAGCAACAUCCGUGUCCAUAGUUUGUAUGGCAGGUAGCUCACCAUUCCCCUGCAAGCGAUCUUUUUUUGCAAAAACAGGGAAUUUCAUCCUGG